GAUGAACGCUGGCGGCGUGCCUAAUACAUGCAAGUCGAGCGAACAGACGAGGAGCUUGCUCCUCUGACGUUAGCGGCGGACGGGUGAGUAACACGUGGAUAACCUACCUAUAAGACUGGGAUAACUUCGGGAAACCGGAGCUAAUACCGGAUAAUAUAUUGAACCGCAUGGUUCAAUAGUGAAAGACGGUUUUGCUGUCACUUAUAGAUGGAUCCGCGCCGCAUUAGCUAGUUGGUAAGGUAACGGCUUACCAAGGCAACGAUGCGUAGCCGACCUGAGAGGGUGAUAGGCCAAACUGGAACUGGAACCCGGUCCAGACUCCUACGGGAGGGAGCAGUAGGGAAACUUCCGCAAUGGGCGAAAGCCUGACGGAGCAACGCCGCGUGAGUGAUGAAGGUCUUCGGAUCGUAAAACUCUGUUAUUAGGGAAGAACAAAUGUGUAAGUAACUAUGCACGUCUUGACGGUACCUAAUCAGAAAGCCACGGCUAACUACGUG
rnacentral:rRNA from 1 species